CUCUCCAUGGCAACCAAGCUACCUGUUUGCAAGUUUAAAAGCUCCAGGCUUACAGGAGCUCUCAUGUUAAUUCAUGCAGAUCAGCUGUUCACUAGUCAGGGCUCCCACUGUUAAGUGAGGCAGCGGGGCGCACAAUUGGCGUGUGUGUGUGUGUGUGUGUGUGUGUGUGUGUGUGUAGGGAUGUGUGUGUAGGGGUGUGUGUCUGUGUGUGUAGGUGUGUGUGUGUAGGUGUUUGUGUGUAGGUGUCUGUGUGUGUAGGUGUGUGUGUGUGUGUGUGUGUGAGGGGACGUGAAUCUGGUGCACAGUUAGGAUGAGUGUUUGAGGGCAAAAUAGCAUUACAAAUACAGCUGGUAGUAAUUGGAUUACGGUGGUUGAUUGCUUUCAAAGUACUUACCGUGGUGUAUUAAUAUUACAUCUGGUGACUUCUGGAGUGUCUCGCUGAUAGAAUGUGGGCUGUCAGAAGAAAGAACACCGUUGCAAAUCUGAUCAGAUCUCCCCUGUGGUCCUGAAAUCGCUGGAGAGGGGAUUCACAUCCAGGCGGAUUCUUUACCCGCUGAGUCAAGGGGGAAGCUCGCAUAUACAGAUGGAUGUGUGCAUUUAGGAAAUUUGUGCCUUACAACCACUCUGCGAUUAUCUUCGUUCUACAGGUCCUCCUCUGACCUCCGAGGAUGUCUGCUUGUUGGCCGUCCAGCAACUCGAACCCCACCGAGUGCCUCCCUGAGCUCCGUGCUGCGUGAGGACUUACUCAUUUGCUCCUCACGCUGGUCCUGUUCUAUUUCUAAACUGGGAAACAGGCGCAGAGUGGUGAUCAAGUUCAUUAUCUGA
ensembl:lncRNA